rnacentral:rRNA from 2 species
CGUCCUAUUAGCUAGUUGGAGAGGUAAUGGCUCACCAAGGCUACGAUGGGUAGGGGUUCUUAGUGGAAGGUCCCCCACACUGGCACUGAGAUACGGGCCAGACUCCUACGGGAGGCAGCAGUAGGGAAUAUUGGUCAAUGGGCGCAAGCCUGAACCAGCCAUGCCGCGUGCAGGAUGAAAGCUCUCUGAGUUGUAAACUGCUUUUGUACAGGAGCAAAAAAGUCCCUGCGGGGAUUCUUGAGAGUACUGUAAGAAUAAGCACCGGCUAAUUCCGUGCCAGCAGCCGCGGUAAUACGGAAGGUGCAAGCGUUAUCCGGUUUUAUUGGGUUUAAAGGGUGCGUAGGCGGCUUAUUAAGUCAGUUGUGAAAUCCUAGUGCUUAACGCUAGAACUGCAAUUGAUACUAUU